GCGCUUGUGGCUUAAUCGGAUAAAGCAUCGGCUUGCGGAGCCGAAGAUUGCAGGUUCGAAUCCUGCCAAGCGCACCA
rnacentral:tRNA from 1 species